GGGUUAAUGGUGAAGUGGUAUCACAUCUGCUUUGCAAGCAGAAGGCCCCGAGUUCAAUCCUCGGUUAAUCCA
rnacentral:tRNA from 1 species